rnacentral:miRNA from 14 species
ACCUGCUCUCUACUGCUUAACA